AAAUAAACACAGCAUGAAUAAUAGCUUUGGAAAACAAUACAAUUAUAUAAAGUUCAAUUUACAAAGCUAUUAUUCAUGCUGUGUUUAUUUACAAGCUUCUUGGUUCUUGCACACUGAAAUUGUGAAGAUAUUACACAAAACGUUUUCUUUAGAGAAGGGAGAGGACGAUAGAGAGAACCACUACUCAUGCAACUCGCAUAUUUUUUGAAGCACGGAGGCAAGUGAAAUGAAAGUGUCAUCACAUAACAAGACCUCAACAUUUGAAACCUUUGCCCAAAAAACAAAAGGAAGUAACGCUUAUAAAGCUCCUGUCAACACAAACCCAUAAGGCCAUAAAGCUGCAAAUGUACCUCAGUUACUGGUGGGCAGAAGCCUGGAGCAGUCCAUCACGAAUCUGAGAAGCAACAUCACGUAUAGCACCAGGUCCAUGAGGAAUAAACACUGCAGAUGAUUUAGACGCAGCACCAAUUUCCUUCAUUGUGUCAAAAUAUUGAGUGACAAGGACCAUGUCCAUGAUAUCUUUUGCAGUGGUGCCUGGUACAUUUUCAGAGAAACCCAGCACACUAUCCCUUAAUCCAUCCACAAUUGCCUGUCUCUGACGAGCAAUACCCAGCCCAGCAAGAUAUUUUGCUUCAGCCUCACCCUCAGCUCGCUUAAUUUGGAGAAUCUUCUCAGCCUCUGCCUUCUCAUUUGCUGCCACCCUCAGUCUUGCAGCUGCAUUUAUUUCAUUCAUUGCCCGCUUUACAUGCUCAUCUGGUUCUAUAUCAACAAUGAGUGUUUGCACAAUUUCAUAUCCAUAAGUAGACAUAGCCUUUUCAAGUUCGUCUUCCACAGCUUUGGCAAUUUCAUUCUUCUGCUCAAAAGCAUCAUCCAGAUCAAGUUUUGGAACACUUGCCCUAAUUACAUCAAAAACAUAGGCCUGGAUUUGGGUUCUAGUGUUGCUGAGUUUGUAGAAAGCAUCACUUGCUUUAUCUGCCAGUGCGCGAUACUGAAUAGAUGCAACAACAUUAACAAAUACAUUGUCCUUUGUCUUGGUCUCACAACGAACAUCCAACUGCUGCAACCUCAGUGACAGAUGGCCGGAAAGCUGGCUUCCAAAAAUCCAAGGUAGGCAAUGGCAUCCAGGGUCAAGAACUUCAUCAAAUUUCCCAAAUCUCUCCUUGAUAGCUACUGUGGACUGGUCAACUUGCACGCAACAACACAGAUUACCCAUCCUCUCUCUGCUUUGAAAUAAUGGAAUUCGUAGAGAGGAAGAAAGUGGCAGUUAUGGAAGAAAGAAAGUAUUGUGAGUGGCUACGGUCCAGGCAAAGGCACACAGAUAUUGCCUUCUCUGUGGGUUUACGCACC
rnacentral:misc_RNA from 1 species